AAACUACAAAGGGCAGCUGGGGAGAGAGACUGCUGGGUGGGAGAACUCAGGUACACGGAGAUGGGGUCCCAAGCUCAGUUGCUCUGGCUCCUGCUACUCUGGCUCCCAGAUGCCAGUGGACAACAGAUUGUGGUGACCCAAUCUCCAGAUGUCCUGUCUGCAUCUCUAGGAGACACAGUUUCUAUCAACUGCAAGACAAGUCGAAGUGUCAGUAGCUAUUUACACUGGUACCAACAGAAGCCAGGACAGGCUCCAAAGCUCAUCAUUAAAUCCAUUUCCACCCUCCUGCCUGGGGUCCCUGCCCGGUUCAGUGGCAGUGGCUCCAACACAGAUUUCUCCCUCAAAAUCAGCGGUGUGGAGACUGAGGAUGCUGCAGUCUAUUACUGCCAGCAGAGCUAUAGCUUGUACCCACAGUGUUCUAGCCUCAAACAUAACCCCCCCCACUCCUAAAUCAGAUGCAAUGUU